rnacentral:rRNA from 1 species
UAGGAUUAUGACUGAACGCCUCUAAGUCAGAAUCCAUGCCAGAAAGAGGUGAUCCUCCCCUGCACAUCGUAGUCGGAUACGAAUAGGCCUUUGGCCCCGAACCUUAGCAUGCUGGCAACGGGGUGUACGCGGAAGUGCGUGCUCCUUAGCUAGCGGAUUGCAAUUUCACUUUGCGCAGGGAUAAAUCCUUUGCAUACGACUUAGUCGUGCGACACGGUCGUGUACGCUGUCGAGUAGCCUUGUAGUUACGAGCAGCUGAGCGUAAGCCGUUUUC